UACGUAGGGUCCGAGCGUUGUCCGGAAUUAUUGGGCGUAAAGGGCUCGUAGGCGGUCUGUCGCGUCGGGAGUGAAAACUCAGGGCUCAACCCUGAGCGUGCUUCCGAUACGGGCAGACUAGAGGUAUGCAGGGGAGAACGGAAUUCCUGGUGUAGCGGUGGAAUGCGCAGAUAUCAGGAGGAACACCGGUGGCGAAGGCGGUUCUCUGGGCAUGACCUGACGCUGGAGGAGCGAAAGCAUGGGGAGCGAACAGG
rnacentral:rRNA from 1 species